rfam:Ictidomys tridecemlineatus contig012260, whole genome shotgun sequence.
AUCCUUUUGUGGUUCACAAGCAUGGGGAUUGGGUUUGCCCACAGUUGUCUGGGAAACACCUCCCUCAAACCUACCACAUUGGCACAUUACCCACCUGACA